AAUAGACAAAAUGACAGCGAGAGUUUUGUACUACCAACAUAAGGGCCAAAUGAGCUGUGUCAUGCUUCUCACAUGAUUCAAGUCACCACAUUAUGAUGCUAACAAACAGAUUCAGAAGUCUGUGUUCUAAGGUCAAAGAAUUACAGCUCCCACAUGGUACAGAGGGCAGGAAGUCCCCAGUUGCUUCCCUCCUCCAUGUAAGCAGUAACUCUACAAAGGAGGUGCUUAUUUCAUUCAUGAAAAAGCUAAGGUGUAGAACGAUUCAGUAACUCAAAGUACUUGACCGAAAGCUGUUCAACUCUAAACACCAGUGGUGGACCUAAAAAUUUAACAUCUGAAACAGAACCUUUUUUAAAAUUUCUACUUUUAUACAACAAAAUUAUUUCCAACAACACACCUCAUAUCACCUGCACCUGAGGCUGACCCUUCCCACUACCACUCCCCUUGGUUGCCCACCAGCCCAAGGCUAUGAAAGAAAAUGGAGACAGUUCUGAAGAACUUCCUGUCUGCAAACAGCUCCACUGUGAUAUAAGCCCAUUAUUAUCAGGCAUGAUGGGAUCCAGAAUCUUCAUGUUCCCCACAAGGGACACAGAGAUGUCACUGAUAAUGCCUGCUGAAAAUACCACAGCACCAUGAGGCAUCCAACUUGGAACUCUCUAAAUAUGCUUAGAGGACUCCAAAAUGCCAUGUACAGCCAAGUUUAUCUGAUAAAACGUGAUAUGAAUUCUAUUAGCUGACCUGGACUUCAUCCCAUUUUUGAACAUCUAUAGCCUUUCAAUUUGGCAUUUUGCAUGUCAACUCUGCAACUAGAAU